GGCGCAGACACAUUAUAGGAACUUUGUAGGAAAGCACAAAGAGGCUGUAGAGAUUACAACCACCACCUUAUCUGGUGCAGGAGAGUUUGUGUGUGUGUUUUUUUUAAGUGUUUCGCCCAGCUCCUCCUUCCCCCACUACAAACAGCAAACACAUGAGUGAGCUAAUCAGCUCUUAAACUGAAAAACCUUUCGAUACAGGAGAGUGAUGGAAGAUAAAAGCUGAGGGGCGGCAGGAGGGUCAAAUAAAAGUUGCUCCGCAGUUCGCUCAUCCAAGCCCCGCAGCGACCGCAGGGGGGUGAGGUUCCCAAAGCCACUUUCACACCUUCGAUAAUGCACUAGCAAAGAGAAGCCCGGAGAGGCUGAAGUUUCCACGGAGGGCACCGUCGGGGAGACGCAGCCCGGGAGGACAGAAGGGUUGGGCUCGCUACCUCUGCACACGGGCGAGCCGGGGCUCCGUCGCUCAGAUGUCCUUAAUAAGCAGAUUUGACCAAGAACUCUGACUUCAAUGGUGGAAGAUUUCUGGGAAAGAGGAGGAAGAGGCUAAAAAUAUUUUAAAGAAAGGGAUUUGGGAAAGAAGCUGCUUGUCUAAUAACAGUCAAGUGGACAGAUGAGGAUGGAGUAUGAGGAACCAGAUUUGGAAGAUAUGUGAAUCAAGAAGAACAUCAACAUCAAGAAUCAACAGGCCUUGAUGAUAGAUUUGAUAAAGGGGGGCUGAGAAGAAUGAGUCAAAUGACAUUUUUAGGCCUUUAAUUUGCCAAGACAGAUGAUGACAUUCAAUGAAAUCUAGAUUAUCAGUUAACAGCUGUUUAUUGAGCACCUUCUAUGUUCCGGACAUUAUUCUAGACCCACAGUCUAUUUUCACUGUACUCAGGAGAGGCAUACAGUAAACAAGUGGAUAAUCUGAAAUAGUGAUAACCUUGAUGGAGAAAAUAAAACAGGGUUACGUGAGAGUGACUGGGGGAAGAGACACUUUAGCUGAGGUCCUCACGAAGACUGACACUUGAACUAAGACCUGAAAUGAUAAGGAGGCAGGCAAGUGAGGCUCCAGUAAAGAAGGGGUAGCAAAUGAAAAGGCUGAGCUAGGAAAGAGCUUAACAUGAUCAAGGGAUAGAAAGGCAGCUGGUGGACGGGGAUGGGGUUUGGGGUACAAAGAGAAAUGAAGUCUGAGAGCACAUGGAGAUCCUUGUAGCCCACUGUACGGAGCUUAGCAGUGAUUCCAGUGACAGUGGGCAGACAGCAUGUUUGAAGCCAAGGAGUGAUGUGAUCUGAUUCAAUUUCUGCGGGCUGUGAGGAGAACGGACUUAAGGGGGUGAAUGGAGGCAGAGUCUGGGCCAAAGUGGUGGCUUAAAUUCCUAGCAGUGCCCAUGUUGAGAAGGGGUCAGAGUCUGGAUAUAGAGGGAGAGGUGAUAGGACUUACGGGUGGACCUGCAUGUAGACUGUGAGGGAAAGAAAGGAACCAGGGGUACCUCGGGGGUGUGAUUCUAAACCACUAUAUAAUGGGUGGUGUUAUUAAACAGUGAUGGUGAAAACUUGAGCAGAGAGAAGCUUCAGGGUGGUGGGAUCAGAAAUCAAUAGUUCUUCUUUGCUCAAGUAAAGCCUGAACUGUUUAGAAACUUGUAAGUGAAAUGGCAGGUAGACAGCUGGAUACAGUCUACAGCUCUGGGGAGAGGUCUAUGUGGAGAUAUACUUUGGGAGUCAUCAGACUCUUCAAAGAUUUUAAAACCAUGAGACUAGAUAAGACUCAUCUUGACCCAUCAAGGUAGAUUAUGGUGGGGGAGGGGUAGGAAACAUGAAGCAAUGUUUGUGGUUUUAGAUUUUUAAAGCAAGGAAUAAUAAAUUCCAUUUUGGACACUUAAGGUGGGGAUAAGUGAUUAGCUGGCUUUUCUGUGGUGAAUCACACUAGCCUCUAAAAGUAUUUUAGUAUUACCCUCUUGUACUGCGACUUAACCCUGUCAUCUCAUUUGGAGUCUCCCUAUUUCAUUUCUGCUACAUCAGUAAGCUCUCUGAGAGCAAACGGUGUCUUCCCAAUCCCCAGCAACUAUUCAGAGAGAAGACACUUUUAUCUGUUAUACCAUGAGUAUAAAAAUCCAGUCUUAAUGGUUAAGAAUUGAUUGUAUAGUGGAGAGACUAGGAAGUAGCACAAUAAUGAGCUAGUU